AUAACAGGUAAUGGAGCGCAAUUCUAUGCCGGUUAUCGCCAAUGAUACAGAUGCCCUCUUAUCUUGGUUGUCGCGGCCGUCCACACCACUCCGCCCUACUCCGCACGAUCUAUACUGGCAAUACUACCGGUCAGCUGUUCACACACACACACACACACACACAUAUACGCACCGGGUUAUACUAUGUAAACAAAUGUGCCACGCCCGUAUUAUCAGUGUUAGUAGUGCACUUGUUGCAUUCUUGUGAUUUUAAAGUAUAAUAUUAAUCUAGACUUUUUUGUGUGUUUUUCUUCAGUGUUUUUUAGUUUUAAGUGUUAUUAUAGUAUUUUUAAGCCAUAAGGGCACUGUGAUUUUUUAUUAUUGAGUUGUCAUAAGGACAAAAAAUUGUUUAUUAUUGUAUUUUUAAGCCAUAAGGGCAUUAUUGAGUUGUCAUAAGGACAAAAAACUAUUUUAAUAUUUUUGUUUUGUUGUUCACUUUACUUUGUGUCUAGUAUUAUUUAGGUUUAGGUAGCAGCCCUGGCCAGCGGUUUGCAGUUCUUCGGUUUGCUGUGAUAGUAAGAAAAGUCGAUGAAAUUUAUCACGAACCGAAUGGCAUUUACUACGAUGACUUUUUUGAAGCUUUGCACUCAAUAAAAGUGGUUACGAGAGCAACAGGAAAUAUCCCCAGCCUCGAUGAAUUUCUAAAGACAUUGGAAGAUCGUGAAUACACGUUAACAGAUUGUUUAAACAUCGUUAGAUUUAUUGUAGGUGACGAUACUCAGCAGGCUUAUGCAGAAGCAUUAUUUAAAAGAAAUGGAAAUACGAGUACUAUAAACUUUGUUCAAUUAAGUGUUGUCACUUAUGGUAUAAGAUUUCAACGCAAUAUGGAUAUAUCCAUUCAUAAAGAAGACCAAUUGAAAGCGGCUCUUUUAAAAUACACUUUUCCUAUUCAGACAAAAGAAGAUGCCAUUAGAACGAUUAUACAAAAUUUAAAUUUUGCAGUUUUAAAAUAAUACAUGUAUG